AGUCAGUCAGUUUGGUUAGUUUUAAACCGUAACUAGUUGAAUUUGGUGCGAAAGUGCCCGCCACGCUGCUGUCCCUCUCUACUUAUUUAUUAAGAUAAUUAAUUGCCAUCAUGCUUCUCCCUCUGGUUCUUUUACGACACUCCGCGCCACGCCGCGUGCGGAUGGACGCGCGCUCGCGCGCACGUGCGUGCAGCGUCACGAGUUUUCGCGCCACUAACGCCGUGCCGGCCCGCGGCCCGCGGACCGUGAAACGCACGAUGGAAUUUAUUGCGUCGCUAAUGGGAAAUGGAAAUGCUACCAGGGACAACCGAGACAGCUCAUGGGACGUGGAACCGAUGAUGACGAUGAGAUUCGAAAGAUGCGCUCACGCCGAUAGCUACUGGCGAUUCGCUCGUUUAACAGCGUAACGGCGAGCCAGCAGGAGUCAGGGCCGGUGACUGGCAUCGUGGAAGAAGAAACAGAGGGAAACAGAGACAGAGGGAGAAGGAUAAAAACGUGGCUGGACCCUAGGAGGGUGCUAGAAGGGUAAAAACCAGAUCCGACUAAUCAUUUCGAGCAGUGUUACCACGCAUCCAUAAUUGGAAGCGUAAUUGGAACCUGACCACUGGUCAGGUGAAAAGUCGCGGUUUUCUUCCCCUCAACGUCGGACACGGAUUAAUGCCGGGCAACUUGAUGGAAAGUAAAAGGAGAAGAGCUCGAAUGUUGGGAUAAACGGAGGCCAAGAAUAAGGGCAGAGAGAAAAACGCGUCCGGAUCAUUCUGAAGGUGACAGAGGGUACCAAGUCUUCACCGAUCCAAUCUGCUCCUGCUUUUACCAAAAUAUCACUUACACAAAAACAUAGCAUCGUAACAGGCUUGAAUGCGCGUUAAAAGCGUUCACGCUCGAAUUUCCAUCGCGCGUGCAAGCGUGCUAGUAACAAACGUGCCCAUGGACGCGUGAAAACGAACACGCGAAACGCUUCCUUCCGUUUCGAGCGAAAAAAAAAAAAAAAAAAAGAACAUUUCCGCGCCUCGAUCCUUCCUCGCGAACGCUCCGAUAAAAUUACUCGAUCAAACUUUAAUUAUCUUGACGCCCGUGUAUCGCUUCGAUAUGAAGUUAACAACGCGGUUGAGCGUGGUUCCCGAACUACAAGAUGGCGGGCACAGAGAGGAAACGCUGUUAGAUCGGAUAUCCGUUGAACAGGAAAUUAGGGUAAUUUCUGCCCGCUCUUGUAAUUGAUAGUGGGGUUGAAUAAUUCAUCGGGGUGGGUAUGCAAAACGAAAGAUCCUUAUCACACGGUGAUUAGAUUCUCGUUAUUAGACUCGGUUUGUACGUUUUUCCAAUUUAAAAAACAUUCAUAAUUUUCUUUUUUCAUUAAAACUAUAAAAAAUCGUGAAGAAUCCUUUAUUAUUUAUUUGUAUUAAAAUUAAUCUUGAUAAACACUAGGAAUUCGUUAUCGUUCCUCUUUUUAAAUAAUCGAUAUAAUGAUAAAAUAUUAUUUCAAAGAACGAAUACCAUAGACACGCGUCAUUCAAGCUGAAGCACGCAAAAGAAAUGCAAAAUAAGCGAUUAAAAAAAGGUUAAUGAAUCACGCAAACGAGCGACGGCGUGAAUUAAUAUGUAAAGCAGCGUAUCAGAGAUUUAGAACGAGUCUCAUUAUUGCCCAUCAGCUUCGUUAUCGUCGUCAUUACCCUUGAUCGACUGAUUCCCGUUAAACGUUCGCCUCUGAUUACAUUUAUUGAGAUAAUCGAUCGCCCUUAGUAUUAUGCUAAUGCACACCCUUCGGUACCUGCAGUGUUUGCGUCCACAUCAAUUGACGCGCCACCUGUAAUUCCAUCGCUUUCCGUCGCUUCUCUAUUACGAGAACCACCUUCACGGAUCACUGAUCCGUAGACGUUCGAAGAGUGAUAUAGUGUUUAUUGAAUUUUUCUUAAAAAAUUUUCCUUAAAAGGAUAGAUGAAAUUUCCGAUAAGUUUCCGAAUAGCCCUACUAAAAUUGGAAACUCAGAUUUGGUAUAUAACCUAAAUUGACUACCAGAAACCGAUUAAAAUUGGUUUCAGAGCUGGAUGUCUCACCGUUUUUGAGGUAUCGUGAUAAGAAAUUUUUGUACAAUUUUGGGACUACGUAUGCGCUAUUCGAUACUGCACAUGCGCUAUUCAAUACUGCGCAUGCGCUAUUCGAUACUGAACAUAUGCUAUUCGAUACUGCGCAUGUACAAAACCUAAUCUAAUGUAAUCUAAUCUAACCUAACCUUACCACAAUAUCUCGAAAACGGUAAGACAUCCAGCUCUGAAACCAACUUUAAUCGGUUUCUUGUAGUCAAUUUAGGUUAUAUACCGAACCUGAGUUCUCAAUUUUGGUGAAGCUAUUCGGAAACACAGCCGAAAUUUCUGUUGUAUAACUAAGAAGAAUUCAGCAGCUUUCUCCGUUGAAUAAGAUUGGCAAAUGUUGGAGAGGAAAAGAAAGAAGUGUCACGUCGUGGGGGCCAAGACGAGAAAAUAAAUAGCGUGUAUCGCGAGAGGGCGGAUGUCGAUGGGGACGAAAGUGGGCGGAUAUAACCAUAGAGCACGUGGCUGGCUCGCGCUUUCGAUCACUAUAAAGAUCGAGAUUUAUCGCGAUCGACUUGUGUUGCACCGCUUGUUCCUUCCUUCUGCUAUAAAUUCACCAACAAUCCAUGUUCGGUACUUUGAAAAUUCAUUUCCUUAAUGUCUCGAGUCGCUUUUGUAUUUUAUAUUUUAAAGUACCUAUUAUUUAUCGUUAAUUCACUUACCAUUAAAAUGGAUCCCCCUAAACGAGAAAAAAGGAUUACCCCCAUAACGAACCUCUGAACCAUCAUAAAGUAGGUACAAAAAAAGGAAAAGGUGCUUUAUCAGGGCUGCUGCCAAAACCACUAGAAACUCGUUUUAGAGAGGGAUCCUCGGCAAGGCUCGCCGAAAACUGUCCCCCACGAAACGAUUAGCCUGUUAUCGUAAUUUUUGCCAGGAAAAUAAGAAGUCACGGAGAGUCGCAGGCUGAAUAAAUGGUGGGGUGGGACACAUUAGAAUGAUUAAGGCGGGGCUUUGACUAUCGUUGACACGCGUGUAAAACCGGUUAUCUGCGCCCACGAUGCAUUAUUUCGCUCUCAACGCCGGUGUUUCGCGAUAACGAACCGAUCUUUCUUCCAGCAUGGGUCCCCGUGGUUGGGCCGUAGGAAAUUAACCGAACGUACGAGGAGAAAAAGAAGCUGACCGAGAGGAGGAAGAAGAAGAAGAAGAGGAAGAAGAGGAGGAGGAAGAAGAAGAAGCCGCAGCUCGCGCGCGACCAACACUCGUAAACCGUUCAAUCAAACGAGCCGGGAUGAAUCGUAAAGCGUGGUGCUGGUCGCGGUAGCGUUUCACAGAUUAAAUAGAAGUUUUUACGAGAAGGAACGAACCACCGGGAAUCACGCUCGAUUAUUUCAAAGUGUAGAGGACAUUCUACGUUGUGGGAAUAAUGGGGAUGUUGGAAUGCUUGGUAGCUGAAAGGGAAAUGGGUUUGUAGAUUAUGAGGUUUCGGAUAAUGUUUCCUGGCGAAUGGUACAUUGCAUGAGAUUGCGAUUCCCUUGAUGAUUUCUCCAGAUCUUUUUAUCCUUUCGAAUCGUGGAAAUUGUAGAUUUUAUGAAUGAGACGUCGAGAGAAUCGGGCAUACUGUAUAAUAUUUACUAUGUCUCGAGAUGAGUAUUCUCCGUGCAAAGAGUUAAUAUUAUCCUAUACUGGGUACUUAAUGUCGAACACGUUUUCGAGCGUACGUCAGCAGGGCAAUAAAUACGUGCUGGCUCGCAGAUAAGAGCGCAUUAAGCUUGAAGCGGAGCAGAAGAAACGUUUUCUAGGAGCGCAUAACUUCUUCUCCGUUGUAAUUCAACAGUUAUUUCGCCGGCACGGCAACGAGGAUAGUUAAAUCAUCGCGGGACGCUAGCAUCGAUCAUGCCGAGGGCUUGUUACCGUCUCACCGUGAAACUGUUUGUAUCUGUCUAUCUCGCCAGUAAAGAAUCUUAUCCGUUCGUCCAUCUACCUUCCCUAUUUCAAGCUGCUACCACGCAAGUAGCGUUUCCUCGGUGACUUAAAUACCUUCAACUCCCCCUAAAACACCUGAACCGUCUACGGGAUCCUGCUGAGUCUUUGUGUCACUCCUACUGGAUUCCGAUCUGCUUUUAUCGAGUUCCUUCGCUCCUUUCUCCCAUUCCUUUAUCGCUAUGUUGGAUAAGGACAGGCGAACACCGUAAACGGACCCUGAUCAAUCUUUUUUUAUCUUGGUCGAAAGGGUUGCUUUCACUGGAAGGUGAUAUGGGUAGAUUUUGGCGAAGCAAACAAAGGUAAAUGUCUAUAAUUAGGGCCACAACGAGAAAUCAAUUGAAAAAAGAUAAAUGUUAUGUAUUCUUGCCCCCCAAAUCCAAAGCUAUUGAUAAAAUUUGGGGAUCGCUUGUAUUUACUAAGAUAUUGGGGUAAAUAUUGACAUAAAAUCAUUAUUUUCAAAAGUUAAUGACUCUGUAGGGUAGACCGUACUUUUAAAGCGCGUCACUAACUUACAUAGGUUAGGUUAGGUUAUCAGAAAAAAUAUAAAGCCAGUCAACAAUAGUCUCCUUGUUCAGUUCUAAUUUCUAUUCAUAGAAUGCACAGCGCGGAGGACGCAUCGUGAGAAAAUAUCCAAUAAAACGUGCAAUCAUCGUGAUAUCAAGAUUAAAACUGGCUAGCCACGUACCACUUUUAACACUUCGUUUAAAUUCACACUUUGAAGUUAUUUUUUUCAAGGAGACUAUUGAUGACUGGUCAAGCUUUUGCCGUGAGGUAAGUUAUAUUUUUUCUGAUAACCUAACCUAACCUAUGUAUGUUAAAAAAUACAAGCGACCCUCAAAUUUUGUCAAUUGGUUGUGAUAACCUAACCUAACCUAUGUAUCUUAAAAAAUACAAGCGUCUCCCAAAUUUUUUCAAUUGGUUCCGAUAACCUAACCUAACCCAUGUAUCUUAAAAAAUACAAACGACCCCCAAAUUUUUUCAACAGUAUUGGAUUCGAGGUGCAAAAAUACAUAGAAUUUACCUCUUUUCAAUUGAUUUCUCGUUGGGGCCCUAAUUAUAGACAUUUACCCAAACAAACACCCACGAGCCGGAAGUUUCAUGCUGGUAGCUUUGUCGGUGAAUUGUAGGAAAAGUCGGUGCCGAGUAAAUUAAUCGCGUGGCCCGGCGUCAAUUAACCAAUACCCCCAUUACCGUCCAUCAAAACGAUAUUUACGAAGAUUAAUCGAGCGAAGAGCGUACCGUUAAUCGAAUCGAAGACGGUUUUAAGGCACCGUUCACAACGCCGGGAUCACCGUGAAAGGAGCGAUCGUAACGCGUUACGCUCGUACAUACGUAACACGCGCAGCUGCUUCCGGAUGCGAUUGCCGGAAGUGCUGCUUGCUACAUUCUUAUCAACGCGAUUUAUGCACGUGCACGCCGAUUUAUGCGAUACUCGUUACGUUCGCGACACGAGAUCACGUAUCAAAUGCGAAAAGAACAUUUUCCGUGGAAAGUGCGAGAUUAAAAUAAUAAACAAAAUGAUCCUGCGUUCGAAACUAGUUUUUCGUUUCUUUCUUUUUUCUUUUUUUUUUUUACAGAUUCAUUCAAUUUUACUCACCUCUUCGUAUAUUUGUAUUGAAUUGUUCACCAAUGGAAACCAGUUUGAACAUCCUAUAAAGUAUCCUCUCAAUUGAAAGGAUUUUUAUAGUCAAGUAGCUACAUUCAAUAAAACCUGUUUCUUCGUUUUCAAAUGAAAACACAGACACCUUCAUAAAUUUCACGUCGCGUCUUUAAAUCUUUCUUCUACAAUAAAGAUUGUCUAGGUGUUUUAUAGAAAAACUUCUCCCGAUCCAUAAAUUUCAUACACAUACCCGAUUUCUUUGUAUCACCAAUGAUCAUCGAUUCAAUCGAUCGCUCUGCCGCUUGUUAGCGUAAUUCUAUAUUGUCGAUCGGUCGAGUUAAUUGCUAUCAUUUAAUUACAGUUGUUCGUCACGAAUCGCGAACGAUUCCUAAUGCUGGACGCACGAUCGAAUCGAUCGAAGAAUGACGAACGAGGUCUUAGAUGCAUUGACAAACGAUAAUUGCAACGUGGAAGUUGAAGACGUGAUUCGAAACUCUAAUGCGAAUAUAUUAGGCGAAUAUAACGUUAACGAUGCUCGAAGAGAUUAAUAGGUGAUCGAUUUAAAACCAAUCACCUUUUAUAAAAAAGUUCAUCCACGAAUCGAUCCAUCCUGGAUUAAUUAAGUUCGAUGCGAUCAUUGACGUGUGAAAUUACUCUUGUAACUCUAAAUAAAAAAUCAAGGCGUUAGAUUUGAAAAUGAAUUUGUAAUAUCCUUGAAGAUCGUGUAAAAAAAAAAGUAUAUAGAAGAAUCGGUGAAUGAGGUACCCGGUAGUGGUCAAUGAAAACUCGUACAACCGUUGCGUUGCUCGGAUUAGACGGGAGUGUCCACAAUGACUGUAUUAUAGUUAUUGCCUAGUACGAACACGCUGAUGACGGUAUUAUACUGAUUGCCAUUUAACAUAAUCACUGUCACUCUGCUGUCGAGCGUCGCGAGUACAUACUGUUUCUGGAGGUUGACGACCCUUGACCCCAUAGAUACAGGGCACAAGUGUUUCCUGAAAAGAAGAAACAAUUGUCUGUCUGAUUGUCGCUUAUAUUGGAAGUCUCUUGUAAACUUGCGAAUGAUAUCGUGUAGGGGAAAUUGGGAAGUGUCACUUCAUGCUAGUUUGCGCUGGUUGGAUGUUGUUUGAACAAUUGCUCAUUCCUUUUACUUCAGUUCUUUCUUUUUAUUUAUUAUGUUAGGAAAAUGAAAAUCAAUUGCGAGGUUUGGAUGUGUUUGAAGUUUAUCGUUGAUAAUGGCUGGAAAAUGCAUCGGCGCGAUGUAAAAUAACGAAGAAGCGUUACGUGGAAUCGUGUACGAGGGUUAGCCGAGGAAAGAUUAGUAUAUCUGCCGUGAUAUAGUAGCGGUGGGUAACGAGGGAAACGGUCAGUGUUGCUCGCGUGUGCUGCACGAGCGGAGAGGUUCUCGCGAGCGCAAAUUGGACGAUGGGCUUGUGCACUCGAGAUAAAUAAACGCCAUAGGGGGUUAGGAGGCCGCAUGCGGGUAUCGUGGAAGUUAGUGGUGGACGACAAUCGAAUAAAUUUGCACGAGUCUCGAUCUUUCUUCGUCCUUUGCCACCCUCUUUCCUUCACACUCCUCAGAACAGUCACUCGGUAAUAAUUUCUACCCAGUUUAGCAUUUAGGAUUAUAAUAGGUCCUUUUUUACACUUCACAGAAAUUUCUUGCGCAAUUCAUCGACAGAUUGCUCACUCGAUCAGACGCUACGAGUUUGUCACGAAUAGCUGGGGGGUACGAUGAAAAAAUACGAUAGGGCUAAUAAAGGCUUAGAAAGCGACGUUUGCCCUCGGGAACCGCGGCACGAUUUACGAUGUCUCGUGUAUCAUUAUCGUAUUCCACUCUGAGUACGAUUGCAUCGCGUAAUAGAAGGUAUCGUGCCAUCGAACGAUAAUUCAUAGUGAUGGUAAUGUACGUCACGCGGUAUGAAUACUAUACUCGAUUGAUUAUUUAUCGAUAUAGCCGUAAUAUUUCUCGCGUGACAAAAUCGCUAGAACAAGCUUUAAUUUUUAAGUAUUACGCGUUACACUCUAGAUCUUACGAAUAACUUCGAAUUUAUAAUGGCUGUGUUUCCGAAUGGCCCCACCAAAAUUGAGAACUCAAAUUUGGUAUAUAACCUAAAUUGACUACAAGAUUAAAGU